UGGGGAAUAUUGGACAAUGGGGGCAACCCUGAUCCAGCGAUGCCGUGUGUGUGAAGAAGGCCUGCGGGUUGUAAAGCACUUUUGUUUGGGAGGAAGUGAGUGUGAUGAAUAAGUGCACUUAUUGACGUUACCGGACGAAUAAGCACCGGCUAACUCUGUGCCAGCAGCCGCGGUAAUACAGAGGGUGCAAGCGUUAAUCGGAUUUACUGGGCGUAAAGGGCGUGUAGGCGGGAUGAUAAGUCAGACGUGAAAUACCCGAGCUUAACUUGGGAAUGUCGUAUGAUACUGUUGUUCUAGAGUGGAGUAGAGGAUAGUGGAAUUUCCAGUGUAGCGGUGAAAUGCGUAGAUAUUGGAAGGAACACCGGUGGCGAAGGCGACCACCUGGACUGAUACUGACACUGAGGUGCGAAAGCGUGGGGAGCAAACAGGAUUAGAUACCCCGGUAGUCCCUGAGCGGGCUGGCAAGGCGCAU
rnacentral:rRNA from 1 species